GCUUAUAUAUAUCUUCCACAUCUUUCAGUGAGCUAUUAUCUAAAACCAUGGCUUGCAUAAACAGUCUCUAUUGCUUCAACCAUGCAGACUCAGAAACUUCAUCAUACUAUUGAAAAACAAAGUCAUCCAGAAAGGAUCUCUACCUAUAAACCAAACAUUUGGAAAUAUGAUCAUCUACUUUCUCUUACAAGUCAAUAUUCUGAAGGAAAGUACAAAAUUGAAGCAGAAAAGCUAAAAGAGGAAGUUCGUUGCAUGUUUUCAAACACUACUAGUCCAGUGGCUCAGUUAGAGCUUAUAGACGGAAUUGACAAACUUGGCCUAAGUGCUUACUUCGAGGUUGAUACAAAUGAAGCUUUGGAAAAUACAAUUUUGUACAUGAAAACUAGUUCCAACUCAAAGGAUCUCUAUGCUACUGCAUUGUGCUUUAGACUUCUUAGGGAACGUGGCUACCAUGCUUCACAAGAUAUGUUAAAGGAUUUGUUUGAUGGGAAAGGGAAAUUACCUCCACAUGUAAAAACAUUAUUGGAGCUUUUGGAAGGGUCACAUCUGAGCAUUGAUGGUGAAAAAUUACUAAACGACAUAAGAUUGUUGUCUACCAAAAACCUCAAAAAUUUAACAUUAGAUGUUGACAGAUUUACUAGUAAUCCCUUGGCAUGGAGAGUGAGAUGGUACGGCGUUAGAACACACAUUAUUAAUACUGCUAAAAAUUGCAACAACACAAAUCCAAUGUUGCUCAAAUUAGCUAAACUUAACUUCAAUAUUAUUCAAGCCACACACCAAAAAGAUCUCAAAGAUGUAAUAAGAUGGUGGAGGAAUCUUUGCAUAGUUGAAAGUUUAGGGUUUACAAGGGACAGAAUAGUAGAAAGCUUCUUUUUUGCUGUAGGAAUUGCGUCAGAGCCUGAACAUGGAAGCAUGAGAAAAUGGCUAACCAAAGUGAUUCAAUUGAUACUUAUAAUAGAUGAUGUUUAUGAUAUUUAUGCUUCUUUACCCGAUGUGCAACAAUUCACCCGUGCCAUAGAGAAGUGGGAUCCAAAAGAAGUGCAAAGGCUACUAGAGUGUAUACAGAUAUGUUUCAAAGCGUUGCAUGAUACAAUGGAAGACAUAUCUGUUGAAAUUCAACGACAAAAAGGUGGCCCUUCACCAUUACCUCAUCUCAAACAAGUGUGGGUCAACUUCUGUAAAGCGUUACUAGUGGAAGCAACAUGGUACCACAAUGGUCAUAUACCAACACUUGAAGAUUAUCUUCAUAAUGGGUGGACUUCAUCUUCCGGUCCUUUACUUUCAUUACAUGUCAUUUUUGGUCUCACAAAUGAAAACCUUCAUUUAUGCAAAAAUUGCCAAGAAAUUAUUUACCACACUUCCCUUAUAAUUCGACUUUGCAAUGAUCAAGGUACCUCAACGGCGGAACUAGAGAGAGGUGAUGUGGCUUCAUCAAUUAUAUGUUACAUGCAAGAAGAAAAUGUUUCAGAGGAUGUAGCCCGAGAACAUAUUGAAAGAAUAAUUUUGAAUUCAUGGAAGAAGAUUAAUUAUCAUUUUAAUAGCCUUUCUACAUCACAUCGAAAAAUUAUUAAGCAUGUAAUAAAUGAAGCGCGAAUGGCACAUGUCAUGUACCAUUCUCGAGAUGGAUUUGGGGUCCAAGAUGGUGAAACUCAAGACCAAGUCCUUAUCAACUUGGUUGAGCCUAUUAUAUAAUCAUUGUCUAUAGGAUUUAUUAUAAUCUGCUAUAUGUAUGAAUAAGAAAGAUACGAAGUUCCGUGUGGUAAUAUAGUAUUAAUUAUGUGUUUACAUAUGA